UGUUGCUUCGGCAGUAUAUAUGCUAAAAUUGGAACAAUACAGGGAAGAUUAGCAUGGCUCUUGCGCAAGGAUGACAUGCACAUUUGUGAAGCGUUCCAUAUUUUU